UACGUAGGGUGCAAGCGUUGUCCGGAAUUAUUGGGCGUAAAGAGCUCGUAGGCGGUCUGUCGCGUCGAAUGUGAAAACCCGGGGCUCAACCCCGGGCCUGCAUUCGAUACGGGCAGACUAGAGUUCGGUAGGGGAGUCUGGAAUUCCUGGUGUAGCGGUGAAAUGCGCAGAUAUCUGGAGGAACACCGGUGGCGAAGGCGGCAUCCUGGACCAACACUGACACUGAGGAGCGAAAGCCAGGGGAGCAAACGGG
rnacentral:rRNA from 1 species